rnacentral:rRNA from 1 species
GACGAACGCUGGCGGCGUGCUUAACACAUGCAAGUCGAGCGAUGAAAGCCUUAUGAACUAUUCGUAGUGAUUGGGGCCGGAUUAGCGGCGGACGGGUGAGUAACGCGUGAGCAACCUGCCUUAAACAACGGGGUAGCCUCGGGAAACCGGGAUUAAUACCGUAUGAGACCCCGCCUUCACAUGAAGAAGAGGGUAAAGAUUUAUCUGUUUAAGAUGGGCUCGCGUCUGAUUAGCUAGGUGGUGAGAGAAAAGCCCACCAAGGCAACGAUCAGUAACCGGAUUGAGAGAGUGAACGGUCACAUUGGAACUGAGACACGGUCCAAACUCCUACGCGAGGCAGCAGUGGUGAACAUUGCACAAUUGGGGAACCCCUGAUGCAGCGACGCCGCGUGAGCGAUGAAGGAAUUCGUUUCGUAAAGCUCUGUCCAAGGGGAAGAUAAUGACAGUACCCUUGGAGGAAGCCCCGGCUAAAUACGUGCCAGCAGCCGCAGUAA